rnacentral:rRNA from 1 species
ACACUCCUACGGGAGGCAGCAGUGGGGAAUUUUGGACAAUGGGCGAAAGCCUGAUCCAGCAAUGCCGCGUGAGUGAAGAAGGCCUUCGGGUUGUAAAGCUCUUUUGUCAGGGAAGAAACGGUGAGAGCUAAUAUCUUUUGCUAAUGACGGUACCUGAAGAAUAAGCACCGGCUAACUACGUGCCAGCAGCCGCGGUAAUACGUAGGGUGCAAGCGUUAAUCGGAAUUACUGGGCGUAAAGCGUGCGCAGGCGGUUUUGUAAGUCUGAUGUGAAAUCCCCGGGCUCAACCUGGGAAUUGCAUUGGAGACUGCAAGGCUAGAAUCUGGCAGAGGGGGGUAGAAUUCCACGUGUAGCAGUGAAAUGCGUAGAUAUGUGGAGGAACACCGAUGGCGAAGGCAGCCCCCUGGGUCAAGAUUGACGCUCAUGCACGAAAGCGUGGGGAGCAAACAGGAUUAGAUACCCCUGUAGUCC